rnacentral:rRNA from 1 species
UUACUGAGUACUACACUCUCUACCCUUUGUGAACUAUUAUACCUGUUGCUUCGGCGGCGCCCGCAAGGGUGCCCGCCGGUCUCAUCAGAAUCUCUGUUUUCGAACCCGACGAUACUUCUGAGUGUUCUUAGCGAACUGUCAAAACUUUUAACAACGGAUCUCUUGGCUCCAGCAUCGAUGAAGAACGCAGCGAAACGCGAUAUGUAAUGUGAAUUGCAGAAUUCAGUGAAUCAUCGAAUCUUUGAACGCACAUGGCGCCUUCCAGUAUCCUGGGAGGCAUGCCUGUCCGAGCGUCGUUUCAACCCUCGAGCCCCUGUGGCCCGGCGUUGGGGAUCUGCCACGGCAGGCCCCUAAAACCAGUGGCGGACCCGAAGGGCCCUCUCCUUUGCGCAGUAGCAUUCGCCUCGCAUCGGGAGUCCUCGGCGUCCUGCCUCUAAACCCCCCACAAGCCCGCUUCGGCGGCACCAAGGUUGACCUCGGAUCAGGUAGGAAUACCCGCUGAACUUAAGCAUAUCAAUAAGCGGAGGAAAAGAAACCAACAGGGAUUGCCUCAGUAACGGCGAGUGAAGCGGCAACAGCUCAAAUUUGAAAUCUGGCUCCUUCGGGGUCCGAGUUGUAAUUUGCAGAGGAUGCGUCGGGUACGGGUCCCUACCGAGUUCCCUGGAACGGGACGCCAUAGAGGGUGAGAGCCCCGUCUGGUAGGAUACCCAGCCCAUGUGACGCUCCCUCGACGAGUCGAGUAGUUUGGGAAUGCUGCUCUAACGGGAGGUAUACUCCUU